rnacentral:rRNA from 1 species
CCUACGGGGGGCUGCAGUGAGGAAUAUUGCACAAUGGGCGCAAGCCUGAUGCAGCAACGCCGCGUGAGGGAUGACGGUUUUCGGAUUGUAAACCUCUGUCUUUGGUGAAGAAACAAAUGACGGUAGCCAAGGAGGAAGCCACGGCUAACUACGUGCCAGCAGCCGCGGUAAUACGUAGGUGGCAAGCGUUGUCCGGAAUUACUGGGUGUAAAGGGAGCGCAGGCGGGAAUGCAAGUUGGAUGUGAAAUACCGAGGCUUAACCUCGGGGCUGCAUCCAAAACUGUAUUUCUUGAGUGAAGUAGAGGUAGGCGGAAUUCCGAGUGUAGCGGUGGAAUGCGUAGAUAUUGGGAGGAACACCAGUGGCGAAGGCGGCCUACUGGGCUUUAACUGACGCUGAGGCUCGAAAGUGUGGGGAGCAAACAGGAUUAGAUACCCCAGUAGUC